UGCGAGUGAAGCGGGAAAAGCUCAAAUUUAAAAUCUGGCGGUUUUGCCGUCCGAGUUGUAAUCUGGAGAAGCGUUUUCUGUGCUGGACCGUGUACAAGUCUCUUGGAACAGAGCGUCAUAGAGGGUGAGAAUCCCGUCCAUGACACGGACGCCCAGUGCUAUGUGAUACGUUUUCAAAGAGUCGAGUUGUUUGGGAAUGCAGCUCAAAAUGGGUGGUAAGCUCCAUCUAAAGCUAAAUAUUGGCGAGAGACCGAUAGCGAACAAGUACCGUGAGGGAAAGAUGAAAAGCACUUUGGAAAGAGAGUUAAACAGUACGUGAAAUUGUUGAAAGGGAAACGCUUGAAGUUAGUCGCGUCUUACUUGACUCAGCCUUGCCUCGGCUUGGUGUAUUUCAUGUGAGACGGGUCAACAUCGAUUUUGACCGGCAGACAAGGGGAGUAAGAAUGUGGCACUCUUCGGGGUGUGUUAUAGCUUAUUCUCAUAUGUGUCGGUUGGGAUCGAGGACCGCAGCGCGCCCUUGUGGCCGGAGGUUCGCCUCACGUUACGCGCUUAGGAUGUUGGCAUAAUGGCUUUAAGCGACCCGUCUUGAAACACGGACCAAGGAGUCUAACAUGCUCGCGAGUGUUAGGGUGGAAAACCCUUG
rnacentral:rRNA from 1 species